CUUACACAUGCAAGUCGAACGCGAAAGCGGGGCAACCCGCAAGUAGAGUGGCGAACGGGUGAGUAAUACAUCGGAACAUAUCCAGUAGCGGGGGAUAACCUGUCGAAAGAUAGGCUAAUACCGCAUACGAUCUAAGGAUGAAAGCAGGGGACCGCAAGGCCUUGCACUAUUGGAGUGGCCGAUGUCGGAUUAGCUAGUUGGUGAGGUAAAGGCUUACCAAGGCGACGAUCCGUAGCUGGUCUGAGAGGACGAUCAGCCACACUGGAACUGAGACACGGUCCAGACUCCUACGGGAGGCAGCAGUGGGGAAUUUUGGACAAUGCGCGCAAGCCUGAUCCAGCCAUGCCGCGUGAGUGAAGAAGGCCUUCGGGUUGUAAAGCUCUUUCGGCGGGGACGAAACGGUUCGCACUAACACUGCGGACUAAUGACGGUACCCGCAUAAGAAGCACCGGCUAACUACGUGCCAGCAGCCGCGGUAAUACGUAGGGUGCAGGCGUUAAUCGGAAUUACUUGGGCGUAAAGCGUGCGCAGGCGGUCUGUUAAGACAGGUGUGAAAUCCCCGAGCUCAACUUGGGAAUUGCGCUUGUAACUGGCAGGCUAGAGUGUGGCAGAGGGGGGUGGAAUCCACGUGUAGCAGUGAAAUGCGUAGAUAUGUGGAGGAACACCGAUGGCGAAGGCAGCCCCCUGGGUUAACACUGACGCUCAGGCACGAAAGCGUGGGGAGCAAACAGGAUUAGAUACCCUGGUAGUCCACGCCCUAAACUAUGUCAACUAGUUGUCGGGGAAGAAAUUCCUUGGUAACGAAGCUAACGCGUGAAGUUGACCGCCUGGGGAGUACGGCCGCAAGGUUAAAACUCAAAGGAAUUGACGGGGACCCGCACAAGCGGUGGAUUAUGUGGAUUAAUUCGAUGCAACGCGAAAAACCUUACCUACCCUUAACAUGCUAGGAAGUCCGCAGAGAUGUGGAUGUGCCCGAAAGGGAACCUAGACACAGGUGCUGCAUGGCUGUCGUCAGCUCGUGUCGUGAGAUGUUGGGUUAAGUCCCGCAACGAGCGCAACCCUUGUCGUUAAUUGCCAUCAUUUAGUUGGGCACUUUAACGAGACCGCCGGUGACAAACCGGAGGAAGGUGGGGAUGACGUCAAGUCCUCAUGGCCCUUAUGGGUAGGGCUUCACACGUAAUACAAUGGUCGGUACAGAGGGCUGCCAACCCGCGAGGGGGAGCUAAUCCCAGAAAGCCGAUCGUAGUCCGGAUUGUAGUCUGCAACUCGACCCCAUGAAGUCGGAAUCGCUAGUAAUCGCGUAACAGCAUGACGCGGUGAUACGUUCCCGGGCCUUGUACACACCGCCCGUCACACCAUGGGAAUUGGGUCUACCCGACGACGGUGCGCCAACCUCGCGAGAGGAAGCA
rnacentral:rRNA from 1 species